CUUGGUCAUUUAGAGGAAGUAAAAGUCGUAACAAGGUCUCCGUUGGUGAACCAGCGGAGGGAUCAUUACCGAGUUUACAACUCCCAAACCCCUGUGAACAUACCUAUACGUUGCCUCGGCGGAUCAGCCCGCGCCCCGUAAAACGGGACGGCCCGCCCGAGGACCCUAAACUCUGUUUCUAUAUGUAACUUCUGAGUAAAACCAUAAAUAAAUCAAAACUUUCAACAACGGAUCUCUUGGUUCUGGCAUCGAUGAAGAACGCAGCAAAAUGCGAUAAGUAAUGUGAAUUGCAGAAUUCAGUGAAUCAUCGAAUCUUUGAACGCACAUUGCGCCCGCCAGUAUUCUGGCGGGCAUGCCUGUUCGAGCGUCAUUUCAACCCUCAAGCUCAGCUUGGUGUUGGGACUCGCGGUAACCCGCGUUCCCCAAAUCGAUUGGCGGUCACGUCGAGCUUCCAUAGCGUAGUAAUCAUACACCUCGUUACUGGUAAUCGUCGCGGCCACGCCGUAAAACCCCAACUUCUGAAUGUUGACCUCGGAUCAGGUAGGAAUACCCGCUGAACUUAAGCAUAUCAAUAAGCGGAGGA
rnacentral:rRNA from 1 species